UAGUCCACGCCCUAAACGAUGGAUACUAGUCGUUGGAACUCCUAAUCGUUUCAGUGACGUAGCUAACGCGCUAAGUAUCCCGCCUGGGAACUACGGUCGCAAGAUUAAAACUCAAAGGAAUUGACGGGGCCCGCACAAGCGGUGGAGCAUGUGGUUUAAUUCGAUGCUACGCGAAGAACCUUACCUGGGCUUGACAUCCCGCGCUACCCUGUGAAAGCAGGGGUUCCCUUCGGGGACCCGGUGACAGGUGCUGCAUGGCUGUCGUCAGCUCGUGUUGUGAGAUGUUGGGUUAAGUCCCGCAACGAGCGCAACCCUCGCCCUUAGUUACCAGCAUUUAGUUGGGCACUCUAAGGGGACCGCUUGGCUAUAAGCCAGAGGAAGGUGGGGAUGACGUCAAGUCCUCAUGGCCUUUAUGUCCAGGGGCUA
rnacentral:rRNA from 1 species